rnacentral:rRNA from 1 species
UACGAAGGGUGCAAACGUUGCUCGGAAUUAUUGGGCGUAAAGCGCACGUAGGCGGCUCCGCAAGUCGGAUGUGAAAUCCCUCGGCUCAACCAAGGAAGUGCAUCCGAAACUGCAGAGCUUGAGUACCAAAGAGGAUCGCGGAAUUCCCGGUGUAGAGGUGAAAUUCGUAGAUAUUCGCAGGAACACCAGUGGCGAAGGCGGCUUACUGGUCCAUUACUGACGCUGAGGUGCGAAAGCGUGGGGAGCAAACAGG